GGGGAUUUAGCUCAGCGGUAGAGCGCAUGCCUAGCAAGCAAAAGGCCCUGGGUUCCGUCCCCAGCUCCG
rnacentral:tRNA from 1 species